rnacentral:rRNA from 1 species
CCUACGGGAGGCAGCAGUGAGGAAUAUUGGUCAAUGGGCGUAAGCCUGAACCAGCCAAGUCGCGUGAGGGAUGAAGGUUCUAUGGAUCGUAAACCUCUUUUAUCAGGGAAUAAAGUGUGGGACGUGUCCUGUUUUGUAUGUACCUUGUGAAUAAGGAUCGGCUAACUCCGUGCCAGCAGCCGCGGUAAUACGGAGGAUCCGGUCGUUAUCCGGGUUUAUUGGGGUUAAAGGGUGCGUAGGCGGCCUUUUAAGUCAGCGGUGAAAGUCUGUGGCCCAACCCCAGAAUGGCCGUUGAAACUGGGAGGCUUGAGUAUGUUUGAGGCAGGCGGAAUGCGUGGUGUAGCGGUGAAAUGCUUAGAUAUCACGCAGAACCCCGAUUGCGAAGGCAGCCUGCCAGGGCAUGACUGACGCUGAUGCACGAAAGCGUGGGGAUCAAACAGGAUUAGAUACCCGAGUAGUC